UACGAAGGGGGGCUAGCGUUGUUCGGAAUUACUGGGCGUAAAGCGCACGUAGGCGGACAUUUAAGUCAGGGGUGAAAUCCCGGGGCUCAACCUCGGAACUGCCUUUGAUACUGCGAAUCUUGAGUCCGAUAGAGGUGGGUGGAAUUCCUAGUGUAGAGGUGAAAUUCGUAGAUAUUAGGAAGAACACCGGUGGCGAAGGCGGCCCACUGGAUCGGUACUGACGCUGAGGUGCGAAAGCGUGGGGAGCAAACAGG
rnacentral:rRNA from 1 species